AGCAGCAAGGGUGAUAUUCAGGUUGACAUAUCUCCAUAGACAAUCUAACCUGUACAGGGAUGAGUAAGAUAUGAAAAACUUCAAUUGAAAGCACCGCAAAGCCCAAGAAUAGUACAAUGGGCUCGACAUUGGUUGAACAUAGGGUUCUUGCAUGCAAGUGUAUGGCCGGGUAAAUAAGUACGUGAUUAAUAUGUUGGGAAAAGCAGUAAUGGUCGAGCAAAAUGAAUAGGAUAGACACAAUCUUCUCCCACCAAGUUACUGGUCAAGAUACUAUAUCGAAUGCGACAUUGCUAAAUUAUUCCAAAAGGCAUUUGAAACUCCAAUGGCGUUAUCUGUUCACCUGAGGGAGAGAAUGAUAGGAUUCCAGCUUGAUCGAAUUCACAUGGUGUUUUUACCUUUAAGCUCAUACGGUUUCUGUACACAGUUGUUGCUAACUUUAGGAAAAAAAUGUUCGAAGUCCUCUGCCCAAACAACAGAACCGACUUGAUUGCUGACGAAGCUCAGCUUGUAAUCAAGAAUUUCAAAGCUUCUUUCAGGCUGGCAUACAACAGAUCACAAGUAAAU